CCACUUUGAUCCUGGCUCAGAAUGAACGUUGGCGGCGUGGAUUAGGCAUGCAAGUCGAGCGGAAAGGCCCCGCACAUAAAUCGCACCGAAGCUUCCCGGUCCGUUGGAUCGGAGUUGCUUUCGUGGGAUUCAUGUGCGGGGUACUCGAGCGGCGUAAGGGAGAGUAACGCGUGGAUUAUCUGCCCCUUGGUUCGGGAUAGCUGCGGGAAACUGCAGGUAAUACCGAAUAAAGUCUGCGGACCAAAGGUGUGAUUCCGCCGAGGGAGGAGUCCGCGUCCUAUUAGCUUGUUGGUGGGGUAAAAGCCUACCAAGGCGAUGAUGGGUACCGGGUGUGAGAGCAUGGCCCGGCUCACUGGGACUGAGACACUGCCCAGACACCUACGGGUGGCUGCAGUCGAGAAUCUUCGGCAAUGGGCGCAAGCCUGACCGAGCGACGCCGCGUGCGGGAUGAAGGCCUUCGGGUUGUAAACCGCUGUCAGAGGGGAUGAAAUGCCAGANGGUUAUCCCUCUAGUUUGACAUAUCCUCAAAAGAAGUACCGGCUAAAUUUCG
rnacentral:rRNA from 1 species